GGGCCAGUGGCGCAAUGGAUAACGCGUCUGACUACGGAUCAGAAGAUUCUAGGUUAAACUCCUGGCUGGUUCG
rnacentral:tRNA from 1 species